ensembl:lncRNA
AUGGAUGUGAGGACUGGCCCAGAGCCGUGGGGAAGGGCCCAGAUCCCCAAAGAACAGCAGGGCUGGUGUGGGCGGGCAGGGCAGACUCUGAGGGGCACCAACACCCAGCUGCCACCCCGGGUGACCCAGAGCAGCUCCAGGCUGCCUCAGGAACAGGGAAACGCAGUGUGGGCACCUCCACUCCUCAGUGCCUCUGCUCCUGCACUCUGCAAAUGCCACAACGCAGGAAUUCCCUGCAGCACAUUCCCUGCACAGGGCUGUGAGCAGCCAUUCCCUGCACAUUCCCUGCCCAUUCCCGGCACAUUCCCUGCACCCUGCUCGGCUGAGCCCCGCACAGCUCCCGGCUCCAGCCCCACCGCAGAGGCCCGGAGGAAGGGAAGCGAGGGCCCGGGGCUUCUGCAGCAGGUCCCAGUCCAACAUCUGCUUUCCAUGUUCCCCUGGCCGCGCUCCAGGUGCGCGCAGCACACGCUGGCUGGCUGUCCGUCUGUCUGUCUGCACACAGCAGGGCCCUCUGUCUGCCCCAGCACCGCUGCCACGGAUCAGCAAACCUGGGAGGGGGCACAGAGCAGCUCCCCGAGGGACCCCAGCCCUCGUGCCCUGGGACAGGUCGGGCACAGAGGAGCUGCUGUGAACAGGAGGGAUCCCCACAGUGAACCCCCACAGGGACAGCCCAGCGGGAUCUGGGCAGGGGGCACGGCCCUUCCAGCCGGGCACGGACGGGGCUCCACGGGGCCGGUCACACACCUCGGGGUGCCCAGGGCAGGGCUGCACCCCGCGGGCUCCUCCACCCGACCCGGGGUGCCCAGGGCAGGGCCAAGGCACAUCCCCAUCCCAGGCAGGACGCAGCAGCCAAUACAGAACAGCCAGAAGGUGCAAACACGCAGGGAAACUCAAACUGCCCCGAAUUAAAUUACAGACUCCAUAAUCACUUCAUGCCACAGACUCCACCCCUGGCUCCCCACAGGAGUGGAGGCAAUGCACAGCCACAGGCGGCUCCGAGGUCUCUGCACAGGACGUUUCACACGCAAAAUUCAGUGUUUGCUCCGCUCGAACCGCGCCCAAACACCCAGGAAAUCAUUGCGGUGUCACCCCGUGAAACACAAACUCCCGCCCAAGCAGCCGCGACACACGAGGCUGCAACUGGCCACUAAUUGACAUAAAUUAUCAAGGAAGGGGAAGUUACACCUGGGGCAGCGAACUGCCACAGGAACUUAAAUUAGGCCUUGAAUUAGGCUAAUUAGGCUAACCAGCCCAGGGGAGGUUCAGGGUUAUCGGUAAAAACGUCCCGAGGUUCUGCAGGAAAGCAGCUGAGGGAAAUGCCCAGGCUGGCGGUGCGCGCUGCGGAUGCUCUGCUGUAACCCUGCCCAGUGCCGCCCUCACCUGAGCUCAGGCCCCCGGAGAUGUUGAUACAAGUCUUCUUCAUCCAUGCCAAGUGGUCAAAUGCCUCCUCCUCUGGCGGCUCCAGUAUUGUCUUUAAAAAACUCGCCAUGUGUCUCACCGAAUCUACAGCGGGGGUACGAAGCAGACAAGUUAGUGUUUGGCUGUGUGGCCACAAGGUUUUUUCCCUUUGUUCCCCCUCAGGAAGAGGUCAGGAGUGUGCAAAAAAUCGCCCUAUGAAAGGCCAGUGUCCCUAGAGGAGACGGAGGAGCCCGCAGGUUUACUGGAAUAAAGGGAGAGUCCAUUGGGCCCUACCCCGGGAGGUUUUGGGGGUGCAGCCCCCUUUUAUCCCCAGCUCCCAGCCCUGUGGUGCCCUCUUCCUUUCUCCCUGGGCUGAGGCACUGGGAAGGUGCAGCCCUCCCCACAUCCCCCCUUGGACACGUGGGGAGAGCUCCCCCCAAGGCUGGGAAGUUCUGGGGGGCUCUGCAGGGGACUUUGCACUGACCCCUUUGUCCAUCCCCCUGAGGGGCAGGAGGUCAAACUCGCUGGGUCUGUAACAACCCCGGCAGUGCGAGGCCAGCGGGGACACCGGAACCCAUCGGGGACACCGGGACCUAUCAGGGACACCGGCACCCAUCGGGGACACCAGGGCCCAUCGGGGACACCGGGGACCAUCGGGGACACCGGGGCCCAUCGGGGACAACCGGGACCCAUCGGGGACACCUGGGGACCCCUCGAGCAGUAAGGAAUCAGCACCCGUGCUCCCGCACUGGUUCAGGAGCCCGACUGAAAGCCUGGGGACCCGCCUUGGAGUUUCGGCUGCUGCACCCGGCUCACGGCUCUGGAAAGCACCGCCAGGGGCCGAAGUCACCCGCUCUGAAGAAAAGCCAGGGCUGGAGCUGGUGAGGGAUAUUCCAGCCCCAUCCUCCCUCGCUGUGUGCUCCUUAAACCCGGGCACGAAGGAGCCCUCCCUGUGUGCCCUGUCAGCUGGGCAGGAGAUGCUGCGGGCACCGGGACAGCCUGCAGGGCUGGGCAGGAGAUGCUGCGGGCACCGGGACAGCCUGCAGAGCUGGGCAGGGGAUGCUGCGGGACCGGGACAGCCUGCAGAGCUGGGCAGAGGACACGGGCCGGGCUGCAGACCCUCCCGGGCCCCCUGCCCGUGCCCGCUGUCGCUGCUGGCUGCCAGCCUCGCCAGCCCCGCUCGCCCCGCCGUACCGGGAUGCCGAGCACGGGGCAGGGCGGCGGCUGCUGGAACCGAGGGCCCGGGACACACCCCGGAACGCAGCGCCGGUGCUGUGACACCACAAAGCACCCCCAGCCCCGCUGGAGGGGGAGGGGACGCCCAGCCCAGCUCUUUUAUCCCCCAGCCUCCUCCUCAGCCAGUGCCAGCAGCUGAGCCCACCCCAGCUACCCCCGCACACCCUAAAAUCAGGGGAUUUUGAGGUCUGCGGUUGGGGGGAUUCCUCCGUUCCUGGGCUCCAGCUGGCUCAGCCAGGGGCUGUGGGGGCUCCCAGGGCACUCGGUGCUCCCGAGCUCGUUUCCUUAGGAAACCAGCCCAAAAUCAGCCUGGCUGUCUCCAGCUGUUCCUGCUGUCCUGCGCAUGGCCCUUGUACGGCCUCAUCUGCCUCCAAGUGUUUCUGUGCCCUGGAACGCCACCUCCACAUCCUCUCCACCAGGAUGUGCCUUUUCCUGGGCAGCGGGCACGAGUCCUGCAGGGAUCCCCAGCGUGGGUACAGUUUGUUGUAUGGUUUUUACAACAAACCGGAGCUUGUGAUCCCUCCCAGAGCUUCCCGUUUGCUCCUCCGUGGGAGGAUCCCGCUCCCCAGGGAAUUCGGGGGUUUCGUCCUGCCCCUGAUCCUCUUUGGGGGUGCUCUGCCGGGGCUGCCGUGCUCGCCCUCCUGCUGCCCGUGUGGGGACACGAGGGGACAGGAGGGGACAGGAGGGGAGCAGCUCUCCCUGCAGCCCCGCUCUGUGCCGUCCCCUGUCCCCUGCAGGCACAGCACAGAGCUUUUCCCCCUGAACCGCGGAGCCCCGUGGCAGGAGCUGAUUUUCCCCGCAGCCGGUGGCGAUGGCUCCCCGCGGGCCCCGGGCUGUGGUUCCUGCCCGGCUGGCUCGGGUGGCAUCGGGAUGCUCGCGGUGGCUGCAGCCGCGUCUCUGGCAGCAAGCAGCGAGUUUGGGAAGUGUGUCAUGCAGGCUGUGUGCCAUGGGAGCCCGGGGGAUGGCCGGGCAGGGGGACGGCCGGAACACCCGGGCACGGCGGCUCCGAGCCCGGGGCACAGGGCUGGCAGUGCCCAGGGACUGGCAGUGCCGGGGG